GGGCCCGUAGAGGAGCCUGGAGUCCUCGUCUCCUUGUCACGGAGAAAAUCACGGGUUCAAAUCCCGUCGGGCCCG
rnacentral:tRNA from 1 species